CUUCUUUCCAGGAAAUGGAAAGCCAAGGGUGAGGCUUAUUCAUUGCACUCCGGAUAUGCUGACCCCUGAGAUUUUCCCAAAUGUGGGAAACCUGACUGCAUAAUUUUGC
rnacentral:snRNA from 1 species